rnacentral:rRNA from 1 species
AACCAGGUACUUAUAGACUGAAUACAUAGGUUUAUAAGAGCAAACCCGGGGAACUGAAACAUCUAAGUACCCGGAGGAAAGGACAUCAAUUGAUACUCCCCUAGUAGCGGCGAGCGAACGGGGACCAGCCGAGCCUUGAAUGUGAUUAGAAUGGUCUGGAAUGGCCAACCAUAGUGGGUGACAGUCCCGUAUAAGAAGCACGAUAGGACGUAUUAAGUAGGGCGGAACACGUGAAAUUCUGUCUGAAGAUCGGAGGACCACCUUCGAAGGCUAAGUACUCCUUACUGACCGAUAGUGAACCAGUACCGUGAGGGAAAGGUGAAAAGCACCCCGACGAGGGGAGUGAAACAGUACCUGAAACCGAACGCCUACAAUCAGUCGGAGCCCCCUUGCGGGGUGACGGCGUACCUUUUGUAUAAUGGGUCAUCGACUUGGUCUAUCUAGCAAGCUUAAGCCGUUAGGUGUAGGCGCAGCGAAAGCGAGUCUUAAUAGGGCGAAUGAGUUAGAUGGAUCAGACCCGAAACCGAGUGAUCUAGGCAUGGCCAGGUUGAAGAUUAGGUAACACUAAUUGGAGGACCGAACCCACAUCUGUUGAAAAAGAUCGGGAUGAGCUGUGCCUAGGGGUGAAAGGCCAAUCAAACUCGGAGAUAGCUGGUUCUCUGCGAAAUCUAUUUAGGUAGAGCGUCGACCGAAUACUCUCGGGGGUAGAGCACUGAAUGGGUAAUGGGGGCCUACAGCCUUACUGAUCCUAAUCAAACUCCGAAUACCGAGAAGUACUAGUCGGCAGACACACUGCGGAUGCUAACGUCCGUAGUGGAGAGGGAAACAACCCUAACCUACAGCUAAGGCCCCUAAUUCAUGGCUAAGUGGGAAAGCAGGUGGGACGACCAAAACAACCAGGAGGUUGGCUUAGAAGCAGCCAUCCUUUAAAGAUAGCGUAACAGCUCACUGGUCUAAAUAAGUUGUCCUGCGGCGAAGAUGUAACGGGGCUCAAGCCAUGAGCCGAAGCUUAGGAUGCACAUAGUGCAUGGUAGCAGAGCGUAGUGUGACAUAGUUCCAUACGUCUUUAGCCUUCUUCGGAAGGUGUUGGACGUAAGGAGCUUUCUGUGAAGCCGGCGCGUGAGCGAUCCGGUGGAGAGAUCACUAGUGAGAAUGAUGACAUGAGUAGCGACAAAGAGUGUGAGAGACACUCUCGCCGAAAAUCCAAGGGUUCCUGCUUAAAGCUAAUCUGAGCAGGGUAAGCCGACCCCUAAGGCGAGGCCGAAAGGCGUAGUCGAUGGGAACCAGGUUAAUAUUCCUGGGCCGUGGAGUGGUGACGGAUCUGAGACGUAGUUCAUCCUUAUUGGAUUGAAUGGGCUGCUAACGGGUUCCUGGAAAUAGCCCUCCUAUAAGAUCGUACCCUAAACCGACACAGGUGGAUAGGUAGAGAAUACCAAGGCGCUUGAGAGAACUAUGUUGAAGGAACUCGGCAAAAUACCUCCGUAAGUUCGCGAGAAGGAGGCCCGGUUCCAAGGCAACUUGGAGCUGGGGGCACAAACCAGGGGGUGGCGACUGUUUACUAAAAACACAGGGCUCUGCGAAGUCGUAAGACGACGUAUAGGGUCUGACGCCUGCCCGGUGCCUGAAGGUUAAAAGGAGUGGUGAGAGCUGCGAAUUGAAGCCCAGGUAAACGGCGGCCGUAACUAUAACGGUCCUAAGGUA